GGGUUCCUGGCACCGUGAUUUGAUGCAAAAACAGAAACCAAAAUCACAUUGCCAGGGAUUUCC
rnacentral:pre_miRNA from 1 species